GGCAAGAGCUCAGAUUUGAAAUCUCACCUAGUGUGCGAGUUGUAAAUUGCAGGUUGGAGUCUCGGUUUAGACGUGUGUGCAAGUCCCUUGGAACAGGGCGCCACUGAGGGUGAGAGCCCCGUAGUGUGCACGUCGAUAGCUGUGAGGCCCUUCUGACGAGUCGAGUUGUUUGGGAAUGCAGCUCUAAGUGGGUGGUAAAUUCCAUCUAAGGCUAAAUAUUGGCGAGAGACCGAUAGCGAACAAGUACUGUGAAGGAAAGAUGAAAAGCACUUUGAAAAGAGAGUGAAACAGCACGUGAAAUUGUUGAAAGGGAAGGGUAUUGGGCUCGACAUGGGAUUUACGCAUCGUUGCCUCUCGUGGGCGGCGCUCUGGGUUUUUCCUGGGCCAGCAUCGGUUUUCGUUGCAGGAUAAGGACCUUUGGAAUGUGGCUCCUCGGAGUGUUAUAGCCAUUGGUAGAUGCUGCAUAUGGGGACCGAGGGCUGCGGCGGACUUGUUUCGUCUCGGAUGCUGGCACAACGGCGCAAUACCGCCCGUC
rnacentral:rRNA from 1 species